rnacentral:rRNA from 1 species
GUGGGGAAUUUUGGACAAUGGGCGAAAGCCUGAUCCAGCCAUGCCGCGUGCAGGAUGAAGGCCUUCGGGUUGUAAACUGCUUUUGUACGGAACGAAAAGACUCUGGUUAAUACCUGGGGUCCAUGACGGUACCGUAAGAAUAAGCACCGGCUAACUACGUGCCAGCAGCCGCGGUAAUACGUAGGGUGCAAGCGUUAAUCGGAAUUACUGGGCGUAAAGCGUGCGCAGGCGGUUAUAUAAGACAGAUGUGAAAUCCCCGGGCUCAACCUGGGAACUGCAUUUGUGACUGUAUAGCUAGAGUACGGCAGAGGGGGAUGGAAUUCCGCGUGUAGCAGUGAAAUGCGUAGAUAUGCGGAGGAACACCGAUGGCGAAGGCAAUCCCCUGGGCCUGUACUGACGCUCAUGCACGAAAGCGUGGGGAGCAAACAGGAUUAGAAACCCCGGUAGUCC